AGUGGAUUAGCGGCGGACGGGUGAGUAACACGUGGGUAACCUGCCUCAAAGAGGGGGAUAGCCUCCCGAAAGGGAGAUUAAUACCGCAUAACAUUAUUUUAUGGCAUCAUAGAAUAAUCAAAGGAGCAUCGCUUUGAGAUGGACCCGCGGCGCAUUAGCUAGUUGGUGAGGUAAGGGCUCACCAAGGCGACGAUGCGUAGCCGACCUGAGAGGGUGAUCGGCCACAUUGGAACUGAGACACGGUCCAGACUCCUACGGGAGGCAGCAGUGGGGAAUAUUGCGCAAUGGGGGAAACCCUGACGCAGCAACGCCGCGUGAGUGAUGAAGGUUUUCGGAUCGUAAAACUCUGUCUUUAGGGACGAUAAUGACGGUACCUAAGGAGGAAGCCACGGCUAACUACGUGCCAGCAGCCGCGGUAAUACGUAGGUGGCAAGCGUUGUCCGGAUUUACUGGGCGUAAAGAGUAUGUAGGUGGGUGCUUAAGUCAGAUGUGAAAUUCCCGGGCUUAACCUGGGCGCUGCAUUUGAAACUGGGCAUCUAGAGUGCAGGAGAGGAAAGUGGAAUUCCUAGUGUAGCGGUGAAAUGCGUAGAGAUUAGGAAGAACACCAGUGGCGAAGGCGACUUUCUGGACUGUAACUGACACUGAGAUACGAAAGCGUGGGUAGCAAACAGGAUUAGAUACCCUGGUAGUCCACGCCGUAAACGAUGAAUACUAGGUGUCGGGGGGUACCACCCUCGGUGCCGCAGCAAACGCAUUAAGUAUUCCGCCUGGGGAGUACGGUCGCAAGAUUAAAACUCAAAGGAAUUGACGGGGACCCGCACAAGCAGCGGAGCAUGUGGUUUAAUUCGAAGCAACGCGAAGAACCUUACCUAGACUUGACAUCUCCUGAAUUACUCUUAAUCGAGGAAGCCCUUCGGGACAGGAAGACAGGUGGUGCAUGGUUGUCGUCAGCUCGUGUCGUGAGAUGUUGGGUUAAGUCCCGCAACGAGCGCAACCCUUAUUGUUAGUUGCUACUAUUAAGUUAAGCACUCUAACGAGACUGCCCGGUUAACGUGGAGGAAGGUGGGGAUGACGUCAAAUCAUCAUGCCCCUUAUGUCUAGGGCUACACACGUGCUACAAUGGCUGGUACAACGAGCAGCAAACCCGCGAGGGGGAGCAAAACUUGAAAGCCAGUCCCAGUUCGGAUUGUAGGCUGAAACUCGCCUACAUGAAGUUGGAGUUGCUAGUAAUCGCGAAUCAGCAUGUCGCGGUGAAUACGUUCCCGGGUCUUGUACACACCGCCCGUCACACCAUGAGAGCCGGUAACACCCGAAGCCCGUGAGGUAACC
rnacentral:rRNA from 1 species